AGUGAACGCUGGCGGUAGGCCUAACACAUGCAAGUCGAACGGCAGCACAGUAAGAGCUUGCUCUUACGGGUUGCGAGUGGCGGGCGGGUGAGGAAUACAUCGGAAUCUACUUUUUCGUGGAGGAUAACGUAGGGGAACUUACGCUAAUACCGCAUACGACCUACGGUUGAAAGCAGUGGAUCUUCGGACCUUGCGCGAAUGAAUGAGCCGAUGUCGGGUUAGCUAGUUGGCGGGGUAAGGGCCCACCCAGGCGACGAUCCGUAGCUGGUCUGAGAGGAUGAUCGGCCACACUGGAACUGAGACACGGUCCAGACGCCUACGGGAGGCAGCAGUGGGGAAUAUUGGGCAACGGGCGCAAGCCUUAUCCAGCCAGACCGCGUGGGUGAAGAAGGCCUUCGGGUUGUAAAGCCCUUCUGUUGGGAAAGAAAAGCAGCAGGUUAAUACCCCGCUGUUCUGACGGUACCCAAAGAAUAAGCACCGGCUAACUUCGUG
rnacentral:rRNA from 1 species